rfam:Triticum aestivum genome assembly, contig: Triticum_aestivum_CS42_TGACv1_scaffold_423596_5BS
CAAGUACUCCCUCCAUCCGGAAUUACUUGGCAUCAAAAUGGAUGUGUCUAGAACUAAAAUACAUCUAGAUACAUCCAUUUCAAUGACAAGUAUUUCCAGACGGAGGGAGUACAAG